UGGGGAAUCUUCCGCAAUGGACGAAAGUCUGACGGAGCAACGCCGUGUGAGUGAUGACGGUCUUCGGAUUGUAAAGCUCUGUUAAUCGGGACGAAUGGUUUGUGUGCAAAUAGUGCAUAGACAUGACGGUACCGGAAUAGAAAGCCACGGCUAACUACGUGCCAGCAGCCGCGGUAAUACGUAGGUGGCAAGCGUUGUCCGGAAUUAUUGGGCGUAAAGCGCGCGCAGGCGGACUAGCCAGUCAGUCUUAAAAGUUCGGGGCUUAACCCCGUGAUGGGAUUGAAACUACUAGUCUAGAGUAUCGGAGAGGAAAGUGGAAUUCCUAGUGUAGCGGUGAAAUGCGUAGAUAUUAGGAAGAACACCAGUGGCGAAGGCGACUUUCUGGACGAACACUGACGCUGAGGCGCGAAAGCCAGGGGAGCGAACGGG
rnacentral:rRNA from 1 species